rnacentral:rRNA from 1 species
GACGAAGGUGGCGAGCGUUACUCGGAAUCACUCGGCGUAAAGCGCGUGUAGGCGGGUGCUUAAGUCCGUCGUGAAAUUUCCCGGCUCAACCGGGAAGGGUCGACGGAUACUGGGCAUCUUGAGUAUGGCAGGGGAAGCUGGAAUUCCCGGUGGAGCGGUGAAAUGCGUAGAUAUCGGGAGGAACACCAGUGGCGAAGGCGGGCUUCUGGGCCAUCACUGACGCUAAGACGCGAAAGUUAGGGGAGCAAACAGG